AGCAGCCGCGGUAAUUCCAGCUCCAAUAGCGUAUAUUAAAGUUGUUGCAGUUAAAAAGCUCGUAGUUGAAUUUCGGGGUCAGUAAGUUGGUCGUGCCACUGGUAUGUACUGGCCUUACUGAUUCCUCCUUCUUGUAGAACCGUAAUGCCAUUAAGUUGGUGUUGCGGGAAAACAGGACUGUUACUUUGAAAAAAUUAGAGUGUUUAAAGCAAGCUAACGCUUGAAUACAUUAGCAUGGAAUAAUGAAAUAGGACGAACGAUCCUAUUUUGUUGGUUUCUAGGAUUGACGUAAUGAUUAAUAGGGAUAGUUGGGGGCAUUAGUAUUCAAUUGUCAGAGGUGAAAUUCUUGGAUUUAUUGAAGACUAACUACUGCGAAAGCAUUUGCCAAGGAUGUUUUCAUUAAUCAAGAACGAAAGUUAGGGGAUCGAAGACGAUCAGAUACCGUCGUAGUCUUAACCAUAAACUAUGCCGACUAGGGAUCGGAUGAUGUUAAUUUUUUAAUGACUCAUUCGGCGCCUUA
rnacentral:rRNA from 1 species